GUUACCCUGUCGUCACCAUCAGCAAGAACGACAGUCUUGAUAGCAGUGUCACCAUCUCACAAGAGCACUUCGUCUAUGACACGGACGCUAAGAUCCAGAAUCCUGAGCUGUUCAAUAACAGCUUCCAGUGGCAAAUACCGCUUACGCUGGCAGUGGGAAACUCCAGUCACAUAUCAACAGAGACCAUCAUUUGGGUCUCCAAUAAAACAGAGACACACAGAGUGGGACACGUGGACGG